rnacentral:misc_RNA from 1 species
AUUUUUAAAAUUAUUUUCAUUUAUUAAUAUUUAAAAGAAUAAUUAAAAAAAAUUAGAAUCACAAUUUCUUAUUCAAAAAGUAAAAGCAACCUUAAUUAGUGCAGCAUAUUACAAUGAUAAGAAUAUCCACAGAGAGAUUGUUGAUAAAAAGGAUUGCUAUUAUCAACCAGCUGUCACUUAUCAGUUCACCAAUGAGUCCCUCUCCUCAGCUUUCCCUCUACCUUUUUUUUCUUUUGGUCAUGGGUGGAACAUGAUUUUGUCUUUUCCCCAACAAUAAUAAAGGACCAAUUCAAGUGGAAGAAUAUAUGAAUUAAAAAUUUAUCUCAAACAAUGAGAUUUAAUUCUAUAUUAAUAAAAUUAUUUUUUAAAAUUAUAAAAUCUCAAUUAUUAAUUUUUAUUCUUGUUAAAAUUGUAUCUAACAUUCAAUUCAAAUUUUAAUUAAUAUUCAAUUUUUUAAAAAAAAUUAUAAUAUCAGUGAUUUCAGUUCAUAGCCUUAAGGUCCUUUUAUGGUUCUAGUUUUAGUUUACUCUGAUUCAAAUCGAUUUGGUUCGAUUUCAAUAAAAUCUAAUGGUUUAUUUUUUAAAAUUUUUUAAAUUUUUUUAUAUGAAAAAGAAUCUAAUUUUAUUUUAAUUCGAUUUUAAUCCGAUUUAAUCGUUCAUAUCAAAAUUUCACAUGUUUAUGUCUUGACUAUAUAGUGACUCGGGUUUUAACAAUUAUUUUCAAUAAGUAAAUCUACCUUUUGAAAUAGAGUUAAACGUAUUACAUUUUAUCAACAUCGUAUCAAAGUCAACUCAAUUCUUAAUUUUGGAUUACUCGCAAAUGUCCGAUCUCAUAAAUUUCAUGCUUCAGAUGUCUAAUCUGGAUAUAAAUAAAUGUGUUAAGUCGGUAUUCAACAAACUGCUUCUUAUAUGACAUGAACAAUCCUCCAUUUUACUAACAUUUUUUUUAUAUAUAAAUUGCAUAUAUGGAAAACUCACCCUCAUUGAGAGAAGAAAAAUUAUUAUAUUGCAGGUUUAGAGCAAUAACAAGUUCA